rnacentral:pre_miRNA from 1 species
ACAACAACAGCUGGACCGUCGGUCUACCGAGCAAUAUCACCCGCUCGGAGGAAGAUCUUCCCUUUGUCGUUCAAG